AGAAGGUGUCUACCAGUACUAGAAGGUAUUUGUACUUAGCCUGGUGUGGUUUGACUUCUCUAAAGUCAAUUUCUUACUUUUUUCUUGGUAGUCGCCUUUAAACAAUCUUCUUCCAAUUUGCCAACUUAAGACCACAAGCCUGCAAACAGUAAGAAGAUUCCCCUCUCUUUCUCAGUGGAUGUAAAGCAGUGAUUCUGCAUAAAUGUAUCAACACUAUAGCUCAACUCCUUCUGGAGUGGACUUCCCCUAGACCUGGAGAGCGAGUCCUGCCUAGCAUACACGGCCUGAAGUUCGAGAUCUCUUCCAAUUCAGGUCAACAAGAAAACUCAAUUCCUCUUCAGGAAGUUAAGUGACUUAAAGAUUACAUAAGAGCUAAGAAGACAAGCCAGCUAAGCAUGUUCAAGACCGGGCUUUUUGAAACUGCACUAAUUGAUCAUAACGGUAGACGGGGUUUCACCAUGUUGCCCAGGCUGGUCUAGAAGUCCUGGGCUGAAGCGAUCCGACCGCCUCCCAAAGUGCUGGGAUUACAGGAGUGAGCCAUCUCGCCCAGCCGAAAAAGUGUUUUUUGAUCUUAAAAUCUUACGUGGAAUGAAAGUGAACAAUGAGGCAAUGAAAGUGGAAGUUUCUCUUAAGCAAACACAGAAGUCAACCAUUCCAGCUUUCUAAGGCUUAAAGGAUGCAGUUACAGCAGCCAUCUCGAACCAUGAGGUUGCCGUGCACAUGGAAACCUUUUAGCGGGGGGAGUGGUAGCUCAGCCUGUUUUCCCAGCACUCUUGAGAGGCCAAGGUGGGAGGAUCGCUUGAGCCCAGGAGUUUGAGAUCAGCCUGGGUAACAUAGUGAGACCCU
rnacentral:lncRNA from 10 species